UGUGUCUAAAAAUUACUUUUUGUAACUAAAUUCAGAAUUUGGCUACAUUGAAACUAAUGGUUUGGUCUGUUUGUGUUACCAUUGGGCCACAUAUGUACAAUAUCCAAUUUGCAUUGUAAUGUAAUUGAACCAUAAAAUUUUCAUCAGUACAAAUGUUGUAGAGAAGAAAUGUUCCCUCUCUUCCCUCUCUUCCUCUUCUCCCUAUUCGUCUUCUCUCUCUUCCCUCUCUUUCUCUUCUUUCUUCUCUCUUCCCUCUCUUCGUCUUCUCCCUAUUCGUCUUCCUCCUUCAUCUUCUUCUUCCUUCUCCAUCUCCUUCUUCAUUGUUAUUAUUGAGUUUCAGACAUGUUCGAUUUUGAUUUUGAUUUGGUGUUUGUUGUUUCAGGUUUGGUGGUGUUGACUCACGCGGAAGAGGGAAGCUUCGCCGACGGUGCGGUUAUCUGAACAUAAGGGUUUCAUUAUGAUCUCUGUGGCUAUGUAUUUGGAAAAUGACGGUAACAAUUUGAGAAGGGUUUCUGGAAAAUGAAGAAUGAAAAUCUUAGGGUUUCAUUGUUUGUUUCUCUGUGGCUGAUUUCGGGUGAACAAUGGUGUCUGAGGUAUGGGCAACUCAAAGUUUCAGUUUCCCGAUUUAAGGCAUGUCUGAGCUUGCCCUCCAUAUGUUUGAUGAAAAGCAGGAAUGACACAGUGGUUGUCGUUGCUGCGUUUCAUGGUCUGAGGUUUGAAAGACCCGGUCAGGUUUGAGAGCAGUAGAGCACGGGAUGAUAUCGAUAUUCGAAUUAAAAUCUGUUGCAGUGCGAAAAGGAUCAUUCAAACCAGAAUAAUACAUGAGUCACACUACCAUCGGCGACAAGGAACGAUAAGAAAUUUUCUACUGGAUUCUUAAAGGUUCAUGGAAGGUGAAGGUGAAAUCUUGUGAAGGUACAUAUUCGCUCUCUCUUUCAAUUCUCUUUGUCUCUACUCUAUGCGAGCAAACCGUCUGGAUGAAUCAGAAUUGUUGUGUGCAGAAUCGUUGUUGUUGAGCUGUUGGUCGGUGUAUCGAUCUUUUCAAAAAGUCACGGAAAGAUGAAUAAGUUUGUAUGAAGCUCUGUUUUUGCGAUUGUCGUGAACGGUGAUGUUGCAGGUUGCUAAUUAAUGUUAUUGAGAUAUUUGAAAGUUUAAUGAAGGUGAUGGAAGGGAGUUGAAGUCUACAAGUUUUUGAAAAAUGAAGGAAGAUGGUGAUAUGCGGACGUUAUUAUAGGUACUAACACAUCCUCCUUCCGUCACAUCACGACUGGAGUUAGUCCUCAUAAUAACUACUACCCUAUCAUCGAUUUUAUUUCUCUUCUAUACGUAAACCUCUCCUUCUUAGACCAUUGGGAUUAUCAGGAAUAUUUAACUAUUAUGAGAUGUGAAAAAUCUAUACAUCAUUUCGGCUAUAUGGGUAUUUCUUCAGAGAGCUGUGGCGGCAGUGAAAUUGAUGGCGAGGAAAAGCAAUAUUUGUAGAUUUAUUUUUUGCAUCAUGGUUUAUUAUUGGAAACAUAUGGAUAUUUGGAUCUCCAAACUUAUACCGGUUAUGUGUAGUGUUUCUUACUUUUAGCUGAAUAGAUUACGCAUUACCCUUCAUUCUAUGCUUAACAAUCUACUGCUGUCUUCCCUGUAUAAUUUCCACUCAUGGGGUCAAUGAGGAUAUGGCACAAACCAGAGGUGCAACCUUCAAAUGCAUUGAUGCUUUACCAACUCACAAGUCCAAAUUGAGGAAAAGAAAAAGCAUAGAUGAAAACACUCCAGCUGUUAUUGAAGGUGGAGUUGUUUCCGGAGGAACCGAAAAGGAAUGCGUGAUCUCCGGAGAAGAUGCAGUAAGUAUAAAGUGAUUUUUAAUUCUUCUCGAUCCUUGAGUAAAAAUCGUGCCAUUUAUGUUGUUCUUUCAAGACACAGAGCCAGGUAGAACCCUUUAUCUGACAGAAUCAUCAACGCCUUUGGUAAUAGUGAUCCACACCAUACUCUCAAGGAAGUUUCUAAGGCUUCAUUGUUGUUUGUUUACCUCGCUGUUGGGACCGGAAUCGUAUCUUUCCUACGAGAAAGACAAGUUGCGAGGAUUCGUAGUUUGUACUUGAAAACAAUAUUGAAACAGGAUAUUGCGUUUUUCGACACUGAAAUAAACACAGGAGAAGUAAUUGGUAGAAUGUCUGGUGAAACAAUUCUCAUUCAACAUGCAACGGGAGAAAAGAUUGGCAAGUUUACUCAACUUGCUACAUCAAAUUUUGGUGGCUUUGUGGUUGUUUUCAUAAAAGGAUGGAGACUAGCUUUAGUUUUGCUUGCAUGUGUUGACUAGAUUUCGUGUUUUUAUGGUGAAUAUCUUGGCCUCUUCCAUUUCAUUUUCAGUAUCAGCUUCUGUAGAAUGCCUUCAUUGAGGGAGAGGAUGUAUAUGUAAUAUUAUUAAGUUGUGUUGUGAUUGAAAUGGUUGGUUAAGAAGUGUUGAAAUCUAUAAUCUCUUCUUUAGUCAUCACUGGCAUGGGUAUAACUUUAUUAGUAUCAACUUUCCAAUCUUUACAGGGAUUGAUCUGUUCUUUGGCAUUGCCAGUAGCUUUAAAUGUGUAAUCUCUUCACUGUGUUUUGACUUUUAUGAAGGAAGAGGUACUAUAAAUGGAUGUUUGACUUUGCAUUCAAGUUUCUACUUUAACAUUUAUACUCAAAGCUUGGCAGUGGUGGAAAUGGCUGUAACAAAGGAUUGGGCUUGGUAGUGAUGGAAAUGGCUUUAACAAAGGAUUGGUUUAAGAAGAUCAGAAGAAUAAUAUCUUUAUUUUCUAACAGCAAAAAUAAAAAGAGAAUAUAUUAAAAUAAAAAAGAACUAUAAAUAAAUUAAAAUAAUAAAAAGAGCUUUUUUAUUUUAUCUUACAACUAUACUCAUUAUUAUUCUAAGACAAGACUUUAACAAAGACUGAUAUAUUUUAAGGGGGACUCAAAAUGAUGUAAAAAAGGGUACAUCCCACAAGGGAUUUCAUUUCUUCAUGUCUAACUUUUCUAUCCAAAAAAUCUUAAAUGUUUUCAAUUA